rnacentral:rRNA from 1 species
UCCGGCAUCACUGGGCGUAAAGGGCGCGUAGGCGGCUUCUCACGCGUGCGGUGAAAGCUCGGGGCUUAACUCCGAGUCUGCCGUGCGAACGGGGAGGCUUGAGUCUGGUAGAGGUCGAUGGAAUUCCGGGUGUAGCGGUGGAAUGCGUAGAGAUCCGGAAGAACACCGGUGGCGAAGGCGGUCGACUGGGCCAGUACUGACGCUGAGGCGCGACAGCGUGGGGAGCAAACAGG